CAGAAGGAAAGGGUUUGCAGCAACUCGGCCCACCCAGCCCUAGAAAAAGGACUCUUUUCCUUUGCAUUUAUAAAAACAGUCCCCACCUGCUACGUGCUGGGCUCUGAGCAAAAUUUCGACAAAUGUGAUUUCAUGAAGACUCUGCAAGGUGAGCCUUUUAUCUCCAUUUUACAGGUGGAAGGUUGGGACUUGGAAAGUUGGAGAAACUGCCUAAAGCCAAAAACUAGGGAAGUGGGGAGCGGCGCAGAACCAGAUCCGUCCUUGCUCUUCAGCAGAUGAGAUACGGCCACUUUUGUACCUUACAACCACCCGGAAAUGAGCCUCCAUUUAGUCCUGUCAGUCUUUAUUUGGAGCUCCUCAGUGCCAGGCACCAUGAUGGGUGCUGGGAAUCAAGCAGUGAAUCAAUUCAUGGCACUCAAAUUCUUGUGGGUGUGAAACAGAGAAACACGAAGAAGCAGAUAUAAUUUCAGAUGGUGCUUAAGGCCUCUGCAGGAAAGACAACGCCUGAUGCAACAGAGAGUGAGAGGAGGGAAACUGUUUUGAACAGCGGUCAAGGAAGAGGAGCCUUGGAAACUCCAAGACGCGAUAGAAAAGAGAUGAGUCAGCAAAAGGAGGAAAUCAAAGCCACGGAGAUCAAGAGCUAAUUAACUGAUCCUCCUCAGAUAAUAUUUCAUUAAAAUCCAGUUCUUCUGCCCUUUGGGGACUGAUAUCUUUCCUACCGCCUCUCCAUUGCCCUUUUUCCACCCGUUCCUGAUCUCAUCUGCCUCUGCUCUGAUCUUUCCCAG